UACGGGGGGGGGCAAGCGUUGUUCGGAAUUACUGGGCGUAAAGGGCGCGUAGGCGGUGCUCUAAGUCGGAUGUGAAAACUCUGGGCUCAACCCAGAGCCUGCAUCCGAAACUGGAGUGCUAGAGUUCUGGAGGGGGUAGCGGAAUUCCUGGUGUAGCGGUGAAAUGCGCAGAUAUCGGGAGGAACACCAAUUGCGAAGGCAGCUCGCUGGGACGUAACUGACGCUGAGACGCGAAAGCGUGGGGAGCAAACAGG
rnacentral:rRNA from 1 species